UGUAGGGUCCGGAGAUUAUGAAAAAGGCGGGCGGCCUGCAUGGUUUUAUGAACUGGGGCAGAAACCUCCUUACUAUAUGCUACAGACCUUGUGGUAUGUGUAGCUUUGGGCUGUGAUAUGUUUGACUGUGUCUUUCCAACAAGGACAGCUGUAAGUAUCCCCUUAACUGUACCGUACGCUUUAGCACCUUAGGUUUCAGGAAUCAUUAGGGGGCUGGAACGUAGUAUUAUUUAUGGUAUGUAAUGUUUUCUCUUUUAGAAUUACAUUUCCUCUUUGCCAAUUACCAAAGCAGGGAUGGCCCUUCCAGACUUCUAUAC